GUUCUGCAGAGGGAAGAAGAGGCUGAGUAAUCUUAGGUACCAGGCAAGACAGCUUGCACUUCCAGGACUUCAGGACUGUUCCCAGAUGGGUUCUCAGCCUCUGGGCCAGCCUGAUGAUCAAAGACGAAAUUGCAGUCAACAGCUCACUGAAAUGGGCCCUUACUGACCAGAAAAGCUACCAAAUGACUAGGUACGGGGGUGAGAAGCCUGAGAAAACCGUGGGACGCAAAAUGUGCCAAGCACUCUGUGGCACAGCCCACCUUACAAAGAAACACCACCAGGCCUCAUCCAAGAACCUAGGGAAGAAUCCAUCGGACCCACCACUGCAGACUCACGCCACCACAGCCAGAAUCCUCUCCCACUGCCUCCCCCAGUGAGACACAAAGGCUGGGAGUCCGGAAAACCCCAGCAAGGGGAGGGAAGUGGGUACCAAGGGACACCCUCCUGCACCCCCUCAAACUCAGGCCCUGGGUCUUCCUACGAGGCCCCACAUGGACAUGCCCACUCCCUCAGGGACACAUGCUCCACACAGAAACUGGGAUCAGGGGUCCCCUCUUGUCCACCUUUACCAAGGAGUAGGGAGCUGGCUACAGUGGUCUGGCCCUAGAAAGGCUAGUCCCUACAGCUGUGGGUCCCUCACUCUACUUAACAUGGAAGCUUGCACCUUGCACCUUUCCAAGGAAGUACUCUAAUUCUCACUUUUAAACACAGGCUUUCUGUGUGCAAACACAAGUCUUCCUGGCUCGCACCCGCUCCCCACACCCUCCCAAUCACACCCGCUUUGAGGCUCAGACCACGGGGGGAGGAGGGCACAGCCCAUCACCUCUGCUGUCUGCAGAAAGGAAACUCCUGUCCUGCUCAGGGGCUGUGCGGAAACAUGCCAGUGUGGAGAGCGGCCUGGGCCCAAGGGGUCACAAGGCACCAGCCUCACCACGGGACAGCAGGACAACGGAGACCGUCUGAGUGGAAGAUGAUUAAGAAGCCCUGAACAGCCCAUGCCCAUGAUGCAACUUAGCCCACCGAGCCCCCAGCCACCCUGCCCAGGGCCACAAGGUGAACGGUGACCUCCCAGGACUGGACCUCAUAGAUGUCCCCUGCUGCUCCCCUGCCAGGGCCACCCCCGGGCCCUAGAACCAUACCCGGUACAGCUGGUCCACCUGGGCCUGGCAUGCCACGUACGCUUCAUAAUCUGCAAACACCUUGAACCUGAAACGGGAGACAGGGGGCUAGGCCAUUGUGGCAGGUGGUGAGUCAGAGGUCACCAGGCCCCGGCCAUCCAGGUCCUUAUGCUUUGGGAUGACGGAGUCUACCUGGCCACAGAGGUGGCUCUAGGAGCAGUACUUCUGUCCUGGGGAUACUAUUCUACAAAAACCUUGUUUUCAGCCCUUUCAAGUAGUUGUUUACAAGACACCCUCCCCACGCAGGGGGGGCCGAGCGGCACAGGCUGAGGGGCUUCCUGCCAGAGAAGGGGCACAGGCUGACAGGGAGGCUCUGCCUGGCCAUCCCUUCCUGGAGCCCAACUGGGUGAGAACUGGAGAUCUAGGGGAAGGAUGCUGUGGACAACACUGUAGGAUUUAUGAACAGGGAACUGCAUUUCUAUUCAUGGCUGAGGCACAGAGACCAUUCAUGAACCCGUGAACAAUGUUUCCUUGAUCCCAGUCUGAGCCAGGGCCAAGCUCCCCGCCCUGUGCUGAGUGGCGCCGUGAUCUGGUCUGACGCCGGCCCCCAGCACCCACCAGCGAGCAACAGAUGAAAGCAACCCAACAGCAGCUCAGAGCGGGACAGAGGUCAGUUCUCAGCACUGACCGGAUUCAGCUCUUACCAACAGGGCGGAGCAAAGAAAUGUCAUGAAAAGACAAGUGGCGGUGCUCACCUGCUGUAAAUUAGUGCUUCCGGAAACAUGGAUGUUAUUCCGUGUCCAUGCGUUGUAAUAAAACAUUAAUUACAACGUAA